rnacentral:rRNA from 1 species
CGCAGCUAACGCACUAAGUUGACCGCCUGGGGAGUACGGCCGCAAGGUUAAAACUCAAAUGAAUUGACGGGGGCCCGCACAAGCGGUGGAGCAUGUGGUUUAAUUCGACGCAACGCGAAGAACCUUACCUGGCCUUGACAUCCAGAGAACUUUCCAGAGAUGGAUUGGUGCCUUCGGGAACUCUGUGACAGGUGCUGCAUGGCCGUCGUCAGCUCGUGUCGUGAGAUGUUGGGUUAAGUCCCGUAACGAGCGCAACCCCUAUCCCUGGUUGCUAGCAGGUAAUGCUGAGAACUCCAGGGAGACUGCCGGUGACAGACCGGAGGAAGGUGGGGAUGACGUCAGGUCAUCAUGGCCCUUACGGCCAGGGCUACACACGUGCUACAAUGGCGCGUACAGAGGGCUGCGAACUCGCGAGAGUAAGCCAAUCCCUUAAAACGCGUCGUAGUCCGGAUCGGAGUCUGCAACUCAACUCCGUGAAGUCGGAACCGCUAGUAAUCGCGAAUCAGAAUGUCGCGGUGAAUACGUUCCCGGGCCUUGUACACACCGCCCGUCACACCAUGGGAGUGGAUUGCACCAGAAGUGGUUAGUCUAACCUUCGGGAGGACGAUCACCACGGUGUGGUUCAUGACUGG